rnacentral:rRNA from 1 species
AACGAGAAAGAACUACAAGGAUCCCCUAGUACUGCGAGUGAAGCGGGAAAAGCUCAAAUUUAAAAUCUGGCGUGCUUAGUGCGUCCGAGUUGUAUUCUGGAGAAGCGUUUUCCGCGCUGGACCGUGUAAAAGUCUCUUGGAAUAGAGCAUCAUAGAGGGUGAGAAUCCCGUCUUUGACACGGACUACCAGUGCUUUGUGAUGCGCUCUCAAAGAGUCGCGUUGUUUGGGAAUGCAGCGCAAAAUGGGUGGUAAAUUCCAUCUAAAGCUAAAUAUUGGCGAGAGACCGAUAGCGAACAAGUACCGUGAGGGAAAGAUGAAAAGCACUUUGGAAAGAGAGUUAAACAGUACGUGAAAUUGUUGAAAGGGAAACGCUUGAAGUCAGUCGCGUUGAUUGGGACUCAGCCUUCCAUUUUUGGUUGGUGUAUUUCCUAGUUAACGGGCCAGCAUCAAUUUUGACUGGUGGAAAAAGUUCAGGGGAAUGUGGCACCUUCGGGUGUGUUAUAGCCCCUGUUCGUAUACAUCAGUUGGGAUUGAGGUUCGCAGCAUGCCUUUAUGGCCGGGGUUCGCCCACGUUCAUGCUUAGGAUGCUGGCAUAAUGGCUUUAAACGACCCGUCUUGAAACACGGACCAAGGAGUCUAACAUGCCUGCGAGUGUUUGGGUGUAAAACCCAUGCGCGUAGUGAAAGCAAAAGUUGAGAUCCCUGUCGUGGGGAGCAUCGACGCCCGGUCUUGAGCCUUGGCGAUAGAUCUGAGGUAGAGCAUGUAUGUUGGGACCCGAAAGAUGGUGAACUAUGCCUGAAUAGGGUGAAGCCAGAGGAAACUCUGGUGGAGGCUCGUAGCGAUUCUGACGUGCAAAUCGAUCGUCAAAUUUGGGUAUAGGGGCGAAAGACUAAUCGAACCA